rnacentral:siRNA from 1 species
CAGUUGUGUGAGGUCUGCUGCUUC